rnacentral:rRNA from 1 species
AUGGUAGCUUGCUACCAGGCGUCGAGCGGCGGACGGGUGAGUAAUGCUUAGGAAUCUGCCCAGUAGUGGGGGAUAGCCCGGGGAAACUCGGAUUANUACCGCAUACGCCCUUUUGGGGAAAGCAGGGGAUCUUCGGACCUUGCGCUAUUGGAUGAGCCUAAGUCGGAUUAGCUUGUUGGUGAGGUAAAGGCUCACCAAGGCAACGAUCCGUAGCUGGUCUGAGAGGAUGAUCANCCACAUCGGGACUGAGACACGGCCCGAACUCCUACGGGAGGCANCAGUGGGGAAUAUUGGACAAUGGGGGCAACCCUGAUCCANCCAUGCCGCGUGUGUGAAGAAGGNUUUCGGGUUGUAAAGCACUUUCAGUGAGGAGGAAGGCUUUCAGAAUAAUACUCUGGAGGAUUGACGUCACUCACAGAAGAAGCACCGGCUAACUCCGUGCCAGCAGCCGCGGUAAUACGGAGGGUGCAAGCGUUAAUCGGAAUUACUGGGCGUAAAGCGCGCGUAGGUGGUUGAGUAAGCGAGAUGUGAAAGCCCCGGGCUUAACCUGGGAACGGCACUUC